UACGAAGGGGGCUAGCGUUGUUCGGAAUUACUGGGCGUAAAGCGUGCGCAGGCGGCUUCUCAAGUCAGGGGUGAAAGCCCAGAGCUCAACUCUGGAAUUGCCUUUGAGACUGAGUGGCUUGAGUACGAGAGAGGUGAGUGGAAUUCCCAGUGUAGAGGUGAAAUUCGUAGAUAUCGGGAGGAACACCAGUGGCGAAGGCGGCGACCUGGGCCAAUACUGACACUGAGGUGCGAAAGCGUGGGGAGCAAACAGG
rnacentral:rRNA from 1 species